UUUUUUUUGCUUCUUCUUCUUCCUUCGUUAUUUUUCUGCACUUGUUCUUUCUCUCUUCAAAACCGUGAGCUACUCUCUUCCAUUUCCAAUCAAUUUCUCUUCAUUUCUCAACCAUUUUUAUGCCAAAAUUAAUCAUUCAAACCAAUAUUCAUCUUUCACUCAUUUUCUUGUUAAAAUCAAUCAUCCAAAUCAUUAUUCAUCCAUUACUCCUUCAAUUUUCACUCUCAAAACUUGAUUUCAUUAUCUCUCCACAUAAAACCCAAAAUCAAAAACCUAACUCUACCCGUUUCUCUCUCUACAUUUUCAAGCUUCUUUAGCCCAUUUUUUAUCCAAUCUACAUCAUCUAUUAGCUUCAUUCAUCUCUAGGAUCAAUUUUCUUGGCUCAAACAAAUCCAUUUCACUCAAUUUUUGUAAACCCGAAAUUGGAUCUUUAAGCUUGUUUUUGUUCCAACAAUGGUGGAUGGUAAUAAAUCAUGAGCAAACACGUGGCCAAGAGAUGUAAGAACAAUUAUGGAGAUAAUACGGAGUUCAUAUCAACACCAUCCAUUAUCUUAAAUCAUCUCUUGGAUCAAUAUAAUCGGUUUAAAAUAAUCCAUUUCACUCAUUAUUUUACAAAACCGAAUUUGUGCAUUUUGGGUAUUUUAAAUUACCAUGGUUCCUUAUUAUAUUAUGCACCUACAUUUUCAUAUGCAUAAUUGUUCUAAUUGUGGAUUACAGAUGAUGGUUGUUUAAUAUUUGGAUAAUUUAUAUUUGGAUGAUAUUUUCUGAAUUCUUAGAAUGAAUAUGACUCUUUGGAUUAAUUGCAUGCUUUAUUUUUAUGCUUCUUGAUUAAUCAUUGAGAUAUUCUUUUUGGUAUAAGCAUGGAUUUAUAGUACUUUUGAUGAUUGAUGAUUAUAUGUGUAUUGCUUGAUGAAUUAAUGGAGUUGUUGGUUUGUUAUAAUUGUUUUAGCUUAUAUGGAAGUGUUUUUAAUCAUGUUGUAUAUUUAAGGAUUUGUUCAUUUUAAGGGGAGACUCUACCGAAAUUUUUGCUCGCACAGAAUUGGUAAUAUCUUUAUCGAAUUAUUUUUUAUGCUCUUGUUUCGAUUGCAUCUAUCUAUUUUUUAUGAAGGGGGAGAUAAAUAUGAUAUGUUUUUUGAUAAUAUCAUUUUGGUUAAAUUUUUUAAUUGGCCAUAUAUUUAGGGGGAGCAUACAAUAUGAUUUUGGAUAAUAUGCAUUUAGGGCAUUCUUUUGAUGGCAUGAUGAUUCAUGAUCAUUUAAUGGUUAAUUGGGUGUUUGGUUAUUAUAUGUUUCUUGAUUAACCAUUGACAUAU
rnacentral:lncRNA from 1 species